rnacentral:rRNA from 1 species
GACGAACGCUGGCGGCGUGCUUAACACAUGCAAGUCGAACGGAAAGGCCCUGCUUUUGUGGGGUGCUCGAGUGGCGAACGGGUGAGUAACACGUGAGUAACCUGCCCUUGACUUUGGGAUAACUUCAGGAAACUGGGGCUAAUACCGGAUAGGAGCUCCUGCUGCAUGGUGGGGGUUGGAAAGUUUCGGCGGUUGGGGAUGGACUCGCGGCUUAUCAGCUUGUUGGUGGGGUAGUGGCUUACCAAGGCUUUGACGGGUAGCCGGCCUGAGAGGGUGACCGGCCACAUUGGGCCUGAGAUACGGCCCAGACUCCUACGGGAGGCAGAAGUGGGGAAUAUUGCACAAUGGGCGGAAGCCUGAUGCAGCAACGCCGCGUGCGGGAUGACGGCCUUCGGGUUGUAAACCGCUUUCGCCUGUGACGAAGCGUGAGUGACGGUAAUGGGUAAAGAAGCACCGGCUAACUACGUG